rnacentral:rRNA from 1 species
GAUGAACGCUGGCGGCGUGCUUAACACAUGCAAGUCGAGCGAAGCACUUUCUCGGAAGUUUUCGGAUGGAAGAGGAAGUGACUGAGCGGCGGACGGGUGAGUAACGCGUGGGGAACCUGCCUCAUACAGGGGAAUAACAGUUAGAAAUGACUGCUAAUGCCGCAUAAGCGCACACUGUGGCAUCACAGAGUGUGAAAAACUCCGGUGGUAUGAGAUGGCCCCGCGUCUGAUUAGGCAGUUGGCGGGGUAACGGCCCACCAAACCGACGAUCAGUAGCCGACCUGAGAGGGUGACCGGCCACAUUGGGACUGAGACACGGCCCAA